CAAAGUACUUCUUUGGUAGAAGAGUGGCUGAGCAGAGAAUAAGACCAAGUCUCCCACCUCUCAAGUUGCAUUUAAGGCUACAGCCGAGAGAGUUUUAAGAACAAGAUUAAGUGGCACAAAUCAGCAUAACUACAUUGACUGGAGUUAAGCUAACCUGUACCAGCUGAAAGUGGGGAUCUCUACAUGAAUUCUACUAACUGUAGGCAGUUGAACUCACUGAAGAGCAACAACUGUGCAAUCAAAGGCUGGGAAGAAGCAGACUGAAACAAAAGCAGGAAUUUAUUUAUUAUUCACUGUAACCCUGGCUGCCAUUCCUAAAUGAUAUGGACCCUCGAAUGACCUUCUAUUGUCCAUUACCCACACUCCACUUCACUUACACCAUUUCUAAUGCUUUUUGUGGUACUGAGUUAUACAUGUGAAUAAUUCACUCUAUAAUGAAGAACUUCCAAAGGAAUAGGCAUCAUUUAUAUUUCUUGCAAGGUAUGCCAGCCUUCUGUACAGAAAUGAAGAUUCUUUUUCCAGCUAAGUGAACAUAGCUUUCCUGUUUCCAUGACCACCAGAUUCCACCUCCCU